GCUCUUUACCAACUCUGAUCGUCUGAGUACCCUCAGCAUUGGACCAAUCAUGUGGGACAAGUCACCUGAGUGAGCUGGUAACAGUAAUAAUACAAACAUAUUCCAUAUUGUGAUAUUAUUUUGUUUUUAAGACAUAUUUUGUUCAUAAGACAUAAGAUAAUUAAAAACUGGUGUUACAUGGUAUAAUACAUUGUAUUAUUAAUUCUAUUUCUCAAUUCUAAUAACUUUGUUAUGGUUGGGUUAUUAAUAAGGUUAUAAUGAAAGUGAAGGUACCAAUAAUUUUCUUCUUCUCUGUGUGAAUUACCACUACAGCCCUGAUGUGACUGUAUUUCAUAUAAAUGACUAAGCCUAUUUUUAAAUGCAUUGAUUAUUGUUUAGAUCCAAUGACAAAUUGCUCAUAUUAUGGUGUAAACUGUGCAACUGAUAUGUGUAUGUGGGAUAAAAUAACCUUGUUUUUAAAAACUAAACUCUGUACCUUGAUAAUGGAAUAUGCAGUAGUUCACAAAUAAAAUUAAAAAAUGGCAACCAUGGCACAUUA